UUGCUGGGUGGAUUAGUGGCGAACGGGUGAGUAACACGUGGGUGAUCUGCCCUGCACUUCGGGAUAAGCCUGGGAAACUGGGUCUAAUACCGGAUAGGACCUCGGGAUGCAUGUUCCGGGGUGGAAAGGUUUUCCGGUGCAGGAUGGGCCCGCGGCCUAUCAGCUUGUUGGUGGGGUAACGGCCCACCAAGGCGACGACGGGUAGCCGGCCUGAGAGGGCGACCGGCCACACUGGGACUGAGACACGGCCCAGACUCCUACGGGAGGCAGCAGUGGGGAAUAUUGCACAAUGGGCGCAAGCCUGAUGCAGCGACGCCGCGUGAGGGAUGACGGCCUUCGGGUUGUAAACCUCUUUCAGUACCGACGAAGCGCAAGUGACGGUAGGUACAGAAGAAGCACCGGCCAACUACGUGCCAGC
rnacentral:rRNA from 1 species